UACGUAGGUGGCGAGCGUUGUCCGGAUUUAUUGGGUUUAAAGGGUGCGUAGGCGGUCCUAUAAGUCAGUGGUGAAAUAUCGCAGCUCAACUGUGAGGGUGCCAUUGAUACUGUAGGACUUGAGUGAAUUUGAGGUAGGCGGAAUUGACGGUGUAGCGGUGAAAUGCUUAGAUAUCGUCAAGAACACCGAUAGUGAAGACAGCUUACCAAGCUUCAACUGACGGCUGAGGCACGAAAGUGUGGGGAUCAAACAGG
rnacentral:rRNA from 1 species